rnacentral:misc_RNA from 1 species
AUAAACAUACUGUGACCCGUAAGGGUCUAAUGUAUCCAACCCUUUGUGAAACUUCUAUUUUUGCUUCGGCAGCGCUCCCUGUAGCUAACGCUGCUGGCGAGGUAAGGCUGUCAGAAGACCCAAUAAAACUAGUUUGAUGAAAUGUCAUGCAGUCUGAUAAACCAUUCUUUGAGAAAUCAAAUUAUGUUA